AAGUAUUGUGAGGAUGUAGCAAAUACUUCUGUGUGGGGUGGUCAUGUUGAAAUACAAGCACUUUCUAAUAUCUGUGGUUCUCCUAUUGAGAUAAUUCAGGCAACUGGACCUAGUGUUAUUAUUGGGGAAGAAAUGAAGAAUUCUAGAUUAAUUAUAAGUUAUCAUAAGCAUAUAUAUGGACUUGGUGCACAUUAUAAUUCUGUUGUACCUGCCAGUUCUGAAACUACAGAUUGAGAGAAGAAAUGCAUAGAUUGAGAUAUGUUGUUAAAGUUCCUUUCUUAAAAGACUUUAUUUAUAAAGAACAAUUGCAGAAACAUUUGUAAAUGCAUGAGCAUAUUUUUACCCAUGUGUACCUAUAAUGGGCAGUAAGCGAUUUUAACUAUCAUA